AGAUGCUAAUACCGAAUAAAACUUAGUAUCGCAUGAUACAAAGUUGAAAGGCGCUACGGCGUCACCUAGAGAUGGGUCCGCGGUGCAUUAGUUAGUUGGUGGGGUAAAGGCCUACCAAGACAAUGAUGCAUAGCCGAGUUGAGAGACUGAUCGGCCACAUUGGGACUGAGACACGGCCCAAACUCCUACGGGAGGCUGCAGUAGGGAAUCUUCCACAAUGGGCGAAAGCCUGAUGGAGCAACGCCGCGUGUGUGAUGAAGGCUUUAGGGUCGUAAAGCACUGUUGUAUGGGAAGAAAUGCUAGAAUAGGGAAUGAUUCUAGUUCGACGGUACCAUACCAGAAAGGGACGGCUAAAUACGUGCCAGCAGCCGCGGUAAUACGUAUGUCCCGAGCGUUAUCCGGAUUUAUUGGGCGUAAAGCGAGCGCAGACGGUUGAUUAAGUCUGAUGUGAAAGCCCGGAGCUCAACUCCGGAAUGGCAUUGGAAACUGGUUAACUUGAGUGUUGUAGAGGUAAGUGGAACUCCAUGUGUAGCGGUGGAAUGCGUAGAUAUAUGGAAGAACACCAGUGGCGAAGGCGGCUUACUGGACAACAACUGACGUUGAGGCUCGAAAGUGUGGGUAGCAAACAGGAUUAGAUACCCUGGUAGUCCACACCGUAAACGAUGAAUACUAGGUGUUAGGAGGUUUCCGCCUCUUAGUGCCGAAGCUAACGCAUUAAGUAUUCCGCCUGGGGAGUACGACCGCAAGGUUGAAACUCAAAGGAAUUGACGGGGGACCCGCACAAGCGGUGGAGCAUGUGGUUUAAUUCGAAGCAACGCGAAGAACCUUACCAGGUCUUGACAUCCUUUGAAGCUUCUAGAGAUAGAAGUGUUCUCUUCGGAGACAAAGUGACAGGUGGUGCAUGGUCGUCGUCAGCUCGUGUCGUGAGAUGUUGGGUUAAGUCCCGCAACGAGCGCAACCCUUAUUGUUAGUUGCCAGCAUUCAGUUGGGCACUCUAGCGAGACUGCCGGUGACAAACCGGAGGAAGGCGGGGACGACGUCAGAUCAUCAUGCCCCUUAUGACCUGGGCUACACACGUGCUACAAUGGCGUAUACAACGAGUUGCCAACCCGCGAGGGUGAGCUAAUCUCUUAAAGUACGUCUCAGUUCGGACUGCAGUCUGCAACUCGACUGCACGAAGUCGGAAUCGCUAGUAAUCGCGGAUCAGCACGCCGCGGUGAAUACGUUCCCGGGUCUUGUACACACC
rnacentral:rRNA from 1 species